CUUGCCUUCUCUCUGGCUGCAGGUGGUAUUGCUCCAUAUGCCUGAGACCCUAACAAAAGCCUAAUUACAACUCAUAUGCCUGGAGCCAGGACAUGUGCAGGAUGGUGAUGUAACUUUCCUCUCUGGAAUGGGUCCUGCACAAAGGAAUGAUAGUAACAUAUUGCAAAGCCAGACACACAGCCAUGAUGGUCCAAGUUAUAUUGGGAUUCAGCCAAUAGAAGAUAUUUUGCCUGUCAUCCCUAAGCUUAGGACAAUAGACUCUGCCAAGAGAGGGGAUUAUUACAUAUUGCAGAGCCCAGCACCUAGGUGGAGUGACUCUCAUCUUUUUCUUCUACCCCGUAUAUAGCCAGCUUGGUGACCUACUAUUUGAGUCUAUACCCAGGCCCAGACCACAGAUGAAAUUGUGCAAUAUGUGGAACAAACACCUAAACAAUAUAUAACACCUUCCUUGGCUCUGUCUACAAAGGGCACUUUUAUAUAUCACUGGGACCAUCAACCAGGUGAUAUAACCCUCUUCUCUGGAAUGGGCCCCACACAAAGGAAGGAUAGUGACAUAUUGCAAGCCCAGGCACACAGGCCCAGAGCACAGUUGAAAUUGUGACAUAUGUACACCAAGCAACCAAGCAAUGUAUAACACCUCAUUUGGCAAUGGAAUCGAGGGCACUUUUACAUAUCACUGAGACCAGCGCCCAGCUGAUGUGAAAUAUUGGCCUGAACCCUGCCUACAAAAGCAUUGUGGCUUUUAUCUAGCUCCAUUACAUAAGUGAUGUGACUUCCUUCUACUGCCUUGGCCCUGCACUUAUGGUGAAUCGUGACACAAAAUUGGGUAGAGCAACCAGCCUGGGCCCUGACCAGCACAGAGAUUGAGGCAUAUUGCUGAACCCAGGACCAAGAUGAAGUCACUCUCCUGCCUUGAUCCUGCACACAGGGACCCUUGUGACAUAUAUACAGGCCAAUUGCCUAGGUGAUGUUGUGCAAUAUACCUGAGACCAGAUCAAUGGCCUAAUAAUGACUCUUUUACCUAGAGCCAGGACAUGUGCAGGAUGGUAACUCUCAUCCCUGAACCUUUCCACAGGUGUUAUUGUCACAUAUACCUUUUCCAGCUCCAAAGUGAUUUAAUAAUCCAGCC
rnacentral:lncRNA from 1 species